rnacentral:rRNA from 1 species
UCGGGGGGGGGCAGGCUACACAUGCAAGUCGAGCGGUAACAGGAAGAAAGCUUGCUUUCUUUGCUGACGAGCGGCGGACGGGUGAGUAAUGCCUAGGGAACUGCCCAGUCGAGGGGGAUAACAGUUGGAAACGACUGCUAAUACCGCAUACGCCCUACGGGGGAAAAGAGGGGACCUUCGGGCCUUCUGCGAUUGGAUGUACCUAGGUGGGAUUAGCUAGUAGGUGAGGUAAUGGCUCACCUAGGCGACGAUCCCUAGCUGUUCUGAGAGGAUGAUCAGCCACACUGGGACUGAGACACGGCCCAGACUCCUACGGGAGGCAGCAGUGGGGAAUAUUGCACAAUGGGCGCAAGCCUGAUGCAGCCAUGCCGCGUGUGUGAAGAAGGCCUUCGGGUUGUAAAGCACUUUCAGCGAGGAGGAAAGGUUAAGUGUUAAUAGCACUUAGCUGUGACGUUACUCGCAGAAGAAGCACCGGCUAACUUCGUGCCAGCAGCCGCGGUAAUACGAGGGGUGCAAGCGUUAAUCGGAAUUACUGGGCGUAAAGCGUACGCAGGCGGUUUGUUAAGCGAGAUGUGAAAGCCCCGGGCUCAACCUGGGAACUGCAUUUCGAACUGGCAAACUAGAGUCUUGUAGAGGGGGGUAGAAUUUCAGGUGUAGCGGUGAAAUGCGUAGAGAUCUGAAGGAAUACCGGUGGCGAAGGCGGCCCCCUGGACAAAGACUGACGCUCAGGUAC